rnacentral:rRNA from 1 species
AUUGAACGCUGGCGGCGUGCUUUACACAUGCAAGUCGAGCGGCAGCACGGACUUCGGUCUGGUGGCGAGCGGCGAACGGGUGAGUAAUACAUCGGAACGUACCUUUUAGUUGGGGAUAACGCAUCGAAAGAUGUGCUAAUACCGAAUAAUCUCUGAGGAGGAAAGGCGGGGAUCGGAAACGACCUGUCGCUGAAAGAGCGGCCGAUGGCCGAUUAGCUAGUUGGCGGGGUAAAAGCCCACCAAGGCGAUGAUCGGUAGCUGUUCUGAGAGGAAGAUCAGCCACACUGGGACUGAGACACGGCCCAGACUCCUACGGGAGGCAGCAGUGGGGAAUUUUGGACAAUGGGGGCAACCCUGAUCCAGCAACGCCGCGUGAAUGAAGAAGGCCUUAGGGUUGUAAAGUUCUUUUUGUCAGGGAAGAAAAGGCUUGUGCUAAUAUCACAAGCUGCUGACGGUACCUGAAGAAUAAGCACCGGCUAACUACGUGCCAGCAGCCGCGGU